CAAAAAAUAGGCAGAAAUUAUCUCCAGUUAAAGAUUCUCAAAAUACCUUGUUAAUUUUAUGCUUUUAUUUAUUAUGCCUUUAGAGUUUUUUAAACAAUUCUUCUUUAAAUCUGUUAAGCUUUUUGAGUAUUAAUUGUGUUACUCAGGUUGGAAGAUAAGCGUAUACUUGUUGUAUGCUGUAUUUGUAUUAAUUGUAAUUUUAAUGUGUGCAACAGUUUUGAAAUGACACCCAAAAGUUCUUGUUAAUGCCUCAGAAAGAAGUUCAGUUGUAAGUUUAUUUAUGCUAUAAUGUUUGAGAUGGUUGCGUAUUUGAGUUAAUCCAUAUUUUAUAGUUUAUUGGUGACCAUUUCUCAAUAUAGAUUUCUUCAAAAUAAACAAUACUUCUCUUAAAAAUUAUUUGUAUCAGGGUAAUCAAUCUACGCUGUCUUAUAUUUUUCUUUUGCGAUGAUAGUCAAAACAUCUUCUGAGAGCAACUUGGUAUUUGGCUGUCAUUUCUGUUGUCAACUAAUAAAUAAUUUAUUUUACAGUAAUUUAUGAUAACGAUUUGACUGAAGCGUUUGUUAAAACAUUAACAAAAAUAUUAAGCACUCCACCAAAGAAAACUGUACUUGUGGCAUUAGAGAAAAGGUUCGUGUUCACCAUAGAGGAUCUGGACGUGGUUGCACCAUGCUACGAACAUUUCCUCAGCUCUAUCAAGAAGGCAUGGGCUCGGCCGCCAAUGUCACUGUGGACCAUGGAACCCCUUGAACUUGAUUUUCCUCAGUACUUCCAGUACGACAGGACCAAACAUUUAGUCAUCUGGAAGCUGACUUCAUAGUUAUUGUUAGUUCACCUUCACAUUUUAGUCCUAGUUUUUAUACAUGAGUAAUAAAAACAUUAUGACCCGUAUUUAAAAACAUGUUUAACAAUAUCAAACUAUACAGUUUCCAUUUUCACCAAUUUUUUUAUGGUUACAGAUAAAAUUUUUUUUAUCAUUAUGAUCAAUUAUUGAAAAUGUUAGUAUGACUGUCUAAUAUAUUGGUUCUACAUUUAGUAGAUAGUAACAAUAUGGAUUUCUGGUGGUCUAUACACCAUGAUUUUGUCAAACCAGAACAAUAUUACACAAUGCUAUUGAAGAUACUUUUGUAUGAAAGCACAUGUGUUUAAUCGAUAAUCUUAUAACUAAAACCAAAUCACUGUCCCCAAAUAUUAUAAUCCUUUAGAGGUUAGAAUAACAUUAUAUAUUUACUCAUCUCUUACCAUCUCUUGAAAAAGUAAAUAACCAAUUAUGUAAAACUGUUACAUAGAUAUGCAAAGUUUUACUUUUACAGGACUGAUGAUGUAUUGAUUUUUUGUGUAACUGUAUAUAGUAACAAUAUACACACCUCAGUAUUUUUAUGUACUGUACCUAAGUUCACGAUGCAAACAUCAGUAUCUAUUAUUGCAGGUUGGUUUGUAGUUGUAAAAAUUUGUAUGGUUCUAACUAAAUUCUGCACAUAGUAUGUUUACAUUAUGGCCAAAUGAAUGGAAUAACUGUUAAAAUAAAGCAGCAUUUUAGUUCAGCUGAAUAGGCCUAUUAUUGGUCUGUGAAAACGUAUCAAUAUGUUCUUUUCUAAAAAAGAAUGUAAUUGUAAAUUUUAUUCAAAUAAAUCAGUAAACGUUACCCUAGAAAGCUAAUUCACCAAGAAAAAAAUCAAAGAAAGUUUUAUAAUUAGUUAUUACUUAACAACAUAACUGCAUUGACUUAAUUAUAUUGUACUUAAUCUUGACAUUGAAUGAUAAAUAUGUACACCAUACUAUUGGAUUCAUAAGAUAUUUUUUAUCUAUACAGUAAACUCUUGAUUAUUUGCAGAGUGUAUCUGUGCAGAUAGCAAAUUUCACAUAUAAUCCACUAAACCACCAGUGACAGGCGGUAAAAGCUGCAAAAUAGUAAAUAAUUGGAUUUAAUUUGGUUAAUAUUCAGUAGGAGAACACACAGUAUUUACAAUUAUAAAUAUAUGAAUACAGUAUUAUAUAAUUUUGCAGUAUUAUAUUUAUAUAAUGUAGUUUCACAUAUAAACAACUAAAUUAGAAUUAACAGGCGAUAACAGCUGCGACUGGUAAAUAAUGUUUUUAAUAUUUCAGUAGAAGAACACAGUAUUUUCAAUUAUAAAUAUAUGAAUACAGUAUAUCAAUCUGCUUGAAUAAACUAAAACUACUUCAUGUUUGUGUAUGGUGGACGUUUUCUUUAGUUUUUAUGAAGACAAUCGAUCAGUUGCUUUUGCUUUUUCAUGUUAACCACUUAAGAGUUUUUAUGUAAUAUUAUGCAUUGUUAUAAUUUUCCUGUUUUAUUCUGUUGUCUGCCGUAUUAUUGCGCAAGAAGCGUUUCUAUCACAACCACACGUUGUGCAAGUAGUUAUGGCAUUUUAUACUAGAUGUCAGCACUUCCUUGGUCCUUUGUCAUGAGUGUUUGCACCGUGGUGAGUUCGCUAUAGUUUCACAAUGUAGACAGCUACCGUGUAUUGUUGCAUGACACCCGGCCGGGAGUAUUUUAUGGUUUUAUUUCUAGUGUUUAUUGUACCGUAGAAAUAUGUGAUGAACAAAUAUACAAUAGGCUUUGUUUGCGUAACGAUGACAUGGACACGGAUAGUGAAAAUGACAGUAAUGUAUAUAACAAAUUUUAAAAUGACACUAAAAAUAACUUUUAUGCAUAAAAAAUAUAUAUUUAAGCUUUACAAACCUGUCUCUGUAAAAACAGCAAAAUAAAAAUUUUAGGUAAAAAACCGUUGAGGAUGAAGCAAUUUAAAAAAAUUUGUAAUGAAGUUCUUGAACUAAUUUUGUCACCAAGAGAUGUUAUCAUUUCUUUCCUUGAGUUAUUUGGUUAAGUUCAUCAGUGUUCCCUAGUGUUGCGUAAUGGCUCACUUUCUUUUGCACUUGAUCUUCCUCUUCAUUCAUUUCACACUAUACUUACACAAAAGGAUGACAAACCCCUGCAGGUUGUAUCUGAGUUUUCAAGUAACGGAUGCCUGUGCAGUAUAUUCUUAUCUUAUUUCUGAUCACUUAUUAAUACGUAUUCAGUUUAUGUAGUUAGAAAAAGUAAUCCCUUCAAUGUUUGCAAGGUACAAUUUAUAAAUAAAAAAAAUUAUUUAGUGUAUUAUGUAGUAAUUAUGUAUAUUAACCUUUUACUGGAGAUGCUACAGAUAAACCAGCAUGGAUAAUCCAGAGUUUACUGCAAUGUUAACAUAAUGACCAUUUUCUUUACUAGAAGGAAGCAACUUGUUUUUCAAUGAUUACCAAUAAAAGAUAAAUGUUUAAAAACACUUAACUUUUCUCAAAUAGAAAAUGUUCACCAUUGAUAGAUGAAAAUGUAUGUUUUACCUUGUUUGUUAGUCUGUUAAUACAUAAUAUUGUAAAUAAUCUUUUCUUAUAAAAUUGUAGUCAAAAUGUUAAAUUUGUUACACUGUGGAGUGUGCCCUGAGAUAACAUAUAAGCAUGCACUAUUUUCCACUUCCAUAAUUUAGCCGGAGGAAGUAUUUUAAUAAUUGUUACAGCAGUAUUGACUAUAAUGGAAGUGUUUAUUAUUUUUCUAGUUUAAGAAUUAAUUUUUGUAAACCAAAACAUUUAUUUUUAGCACUUUGUAUUAUAGUGGGCACUUGUUUUAUUGUGCUUUGAUGUACCACUGGGUGUGUGUAGUGUGUUUUUCAAUUUUCUCCAUCACUUAACUUUUAUUUCGCCAAGACUUAUAACAUGUGCAAAUUUCUUGUCUAUAACGUUUUGUGUCAAUUCACCUCUAAACAAAGAAGAGUUACUAUUAAAACAAACUAACAAUUAAAUCAAAUCAGUUGUUUACUUAAAAAUUAUAUUUACUUUAUAAUUACAUUUCUUGGCAUAGAUAAACCAUAACCGUUCAGAGAUUUCAACCAUUAUGUUGGUUGGGUUGCGUAUAUGGAGAAUACAUUCCCAAGAAAUUUGUACUCUUCCUCAUUAAUUCGCUAAAAUAUAAUAAUGUCAGUUAUAACUCACUCCAUUACUGAAAGUUAGUGUUAUCAUAUUUUAAUAACAUAAGUUUGAUUUAAUAUACUGUUUUACAUUCACAUGAAUGUUCAUUAUAAUAAGUGCCAACUGUACUUUGUAAAGUGGUAGAUAAUAUUGUGUUAUUUACAUUUUCAAAAGUUGAGUGAAAAUAUAGUUUUCUUUAUUUUGAAACUAUCAUACUUUGUACAAAGACAGAUGUGUAACAAUUGUAACUAGGGAUAAAGAAAUAUUAUUUAUUGAAUUAUGAAGAACAAAGUUAAAUUGAACAAUACAAUUCAAAGUAAUGACACUAUUACCUUCAUGUCUUAGCUUAAGAAUGCUCUAUUUAUAUAUAUAUAUAUGCAUCACUGUAUUUCUUAACUUCUUACUAAAUAUGCAUUGGUAAAUGCAGACCAUGUAUUAGGACCAAAGAUAGUUGACCAGUAUUUUAUAUUUUGUUAUUUUUAAUGCUAAAUUUACAUUGUUAAUUUUGUUUUGUUAAGGUAAUAGGUGUAUUAUCUUUUUAGUCAAUUUCUAGUCAAAAUAGAAUUAAGAUUAGUACUUUAACAUAGUAUAAUAGUCACCGAUAACCAAACAAGUUGUGUCUAGUCAGUUUUGCAAUGUUCCUUAAAGUGAUAUUAAUAAAUGCUGUCUCGACUGUUA
rnacentral:lncRNA from 1 species